UGGGGAAUAUUGCACAAUGGGGGAAACCCUGAUGCAGCGACGCCGCGUGAGCGAUGAAGGCUUUCGAGUCGUAAAGCUCUGUCCUAUGGGAAGAUAAUGACGGUACCAUAGAAGAAAGCCCCGGCUAAUUACGUGCCAGCAGCCGCGGUAAUACGUAAGGGGCGAGCGUUGUCCGGAAUUAUUGGGCGUAAAGAGUGCGUAGGCGGCAAAUUAAGUCAGAUGUGAAAACUAAGGGCUCAACCCAUAGAUUGCAUCUGAAACUGAUAUGCUUGAGUCAAGGAGAGGAAAGUGGAAUUCCUAGUGUAGCGGUGGAAUGCGUAGAUAUUAGGAGGAAUACCAGUGGCGAAGGCGACUUUCUGGACUUGAACUGACGCUGAGGCACGAAAGCGUGGGGAGCAAACAGG
rnacentral:rRNA from 1 species